UGGGGAAUUAGCUCAGCUGGGAGAGCACCUGCUUUGCAAGCAGGAGGUCAUCGGUUCGAUUCCGUUAUUCUCCAU
rnacentral:tRNA from 1 species